UACGUAGGGUGCGAGCGUUAAUCGGAAUUACUGGGCGUAAAGCGUGCGCAGGCGGUUCGUGAUGUCUGGUGUGAAAGCCCCGGGCUUAACCUGGGAAUUGCAUUGGAAACUAGCGGGCUGGAGUGUGGCAGAGGGGGGUGGAAUUCCACGUGUAGCAGUGAAAUGCGUAGAGAUGUGGAGGAACACCGAUGGCGAAGGCAGCCCCCUGGGCUAACACUGACGCCCAUGCACGAAAGCGUGGGGAGCAAACAGG
rnacentral:rRNA from 1 species